rnacentral:rRNA from 1 species
GUAGCGGCGAGUGAAGCGGCAAAAGCUCAAAUUUGAAAUCUGGCUCUUUCAGAGUCCGAGUUGUAAUUUGAAGAAGGUAUCUUUGGGUCUGGCUCUUGUCUAUGUUUCUUGGAACAGAACGUCACAGAGGGUGAGAAUCCCGUGCGAUGAGAUGAUCCAGGCCUAUGUAAAGUUCCUUCGAAGAGUCGAGUUGUUUGGGAAUGCAGCUCUAAGUGGGUGGUAAAUUCCAUCUAAAGCUAAAUAUUGGCGAGAGACCGAUAGCGAACAAGUACAGUGAUGGAAAGAUGAAAAGAACUUUGAAAAGAGAGUGAAAAAGUACGUGAAAUUGUUGAAAGGGAAGGGCUUGAGAUCAGACUUGGUAUUUUGUAUGUUACUUCUUCGGGGGUGGCCUCUACAGUUUAUCGGGCCAGCAUCAGUUUGGGCGGUAGGAGAAUUGCGUUGGAAUGUGGCACGGCUUCGGUUGUGUGUUAUAGCCUUCGUCGAUACUGCCAGCCUAGACUGAGGACUGCGGUUUAUACCUAGGAUGUUGGCAUAAUGAUCUUAAGUCGCCCGUCUUG